CCUAGAAUCAAUCUAAGGUGCAAUCUGCCCAAUGAUUUUAAAAAUAAUAGAAGUAAUUUUCUAAAAAUAAAUUUAAAGGACGCAGUAACCUGACUGUGAUAAUGUAGCAUAAUCACUCGCCAUUUAAUUGAUGGAUAGUAUGAAUGAUCAAACGAAUUCUUAACUGUCUCAAAAAAAGAAAACAUGAAAUUAAAAUAAUAGUCAAGAUGCUAUUUAUAAUUGUAAGACGAAAAGACCCUAUAGAGCUUAACUAUAUUCUUUCUAGAAAAAUAAUUAUUAAAUAGAAAGAAAGGUAGUUUAGUUGGGGCGACUAUCUUCUAAAUAUAACGAAGACAAGCAAUAUUAACAAAUGACUUAUUGUAUAAUUAACAAAUUUAACAAUUACAAAAGUAGGCUAUAAUGACCCGUUACAAUUAAGUGAAACUUAUAACGAUCAAUGGAUAAAAGCUACCUUAGGGAUAACAGGAUAAUUUUGUUCUAAAGACCUUAUUGAAAACAAAGUUUGUCACCUCUAUGUUGAAUUAAGAUAUCCUGAUAAUGCAGAAGUUAUCAAAGGUAGGUCUGUUCGACCUUUAAAAU
rnacentral:rRNA from 1 species